rnacentral:tRNA from 1 species
GGCAGCAUGGGCCAAUUGGAAGGCUGCGAGGCUCAUGACCUCGAGUGUCCUGGUUCGAAUCCAGGUGCUGCUC